rnacentral:rRNA from 1 species
UACGUAGGGUCCGAGCGUUGUCCGGAAUUACUGGGCGUAAAGAGCUCGUAGGUGGUUUGUCGCGUUGUUCGUGAAAACUCACAGCUCAACUGUGGGCGUGCGGGCGAUACGGGCAGACUAGAGUACUGCAGGGGAGACUGGAAUUCCUGGUGUAGCGGUGGAAUGCGCAGAUAUCAGGAAGAACACCCGUGGCGAAGGCGGUUCUCUGGGACGGUACUGACGCUGAGACGCGAAAGCGUGGGGAGCGAACAGG